rnacentral:rRNA from 1 species
CCGCACAAGCGGUGGAUGAUGUGGUUUAAUUCGAUGCAACGCGAAAAACCUUACCCACCUUUGACAUGUACGGAAUUUGCCAGAGAUGGCUUAGUGCUCGAAAGAGAGCCGUAACACAGGUGCUGCAUGGCUGUCGUCAGCUCGUGUCGUGAGAUGUUGGGUUAAGUCCCGCAACGAGCGCAACCCUUGUCAUUAGUUGCUACGAAAGGGCACUCUAAUGAGACUGCCGGUGACAAACCGGAGGAAGGUGGGGAUGACGUCAAGUCCUCAUGGCCCUUAUAGGUGGGGCUACACACGUCAUACAAUGGCCGGUACAAAGGGUCGCAAACCCGCGAGGGGGAGCUAAUCCAUCAAAGCCGGUCGUAGUCCGGAUCGCAGUCUGCAACUCGACUGCGUGAAGUCGGAAUCGCUAGUAAUCGUGGAUCAGCAUGUCACGGUGAAUACGUUCCCGGGUCUUGUACACACCGCCCGUCACACCAUGGGAGCGGGUCUCGCCAGAAGUAGUUAGCCUAACCGCAAGGAGGGCGAUUACCACGGCGGGGUUCGUGACUGGGGUGAAGUCGUAACAAGGUAGCCGUA